rnacentral:rRNA from 1 species
GACGCUGGCGGCGUGCUUAACACAUGCAAGUCGAGCGAUGAAGCUCCUUCGGGAGUGGAUUAGCGGCGGACGGGUGAGUAACACGUGGGUAACCUGCCUCAUAGAGGGGAAUAGCCUUUCGAAAGGAAGAUUAAUACCGCAUAAGAUUGUAGUGCCGCAUGGCAUAGCAAUUAAAGGAGUAAUCCGCUAUGAGAUGGACCCGCGUCGCAUUAGCUAGUUGGUGAGGUAACGGCUCACCAAGGCGACGAUGCGUAGCCGACCUGAGAGGGUGAUCGGCCACAUUGGGACUGAGACACGGCCCAGACUCCUACGGGAGGCAGCAGUGGGGAAUAUUGCACAAUGGGGGAAACCCUGAUGCAGCAACGCCGCGUGAGUGAUGACGGUCUUCGGAUUGUAAAGCUCUGUCUUCAGGGACGAUAAUGACGGUACCUGAGGAGGAAGCCACGGCUAACUACGUGCCAGCAGCCGCGGUAAUACGUAGGUGGCAAGCGUUGUCCGGAUUUACUGGGCGAAA